UGGCGGACGGGUGAGUAAUGCUUGGGAAUCUGGCUUAUGAGGGGGAUAACUACGGGAAACUGUAGCUAAUACCGCGUAAAAUCUUCGGAUUAAAGGGUGGGACUUUCGGGCCACCUGCCAUAAGAUGAGCCCAAGUGGGAUUAGGUAGUUGGUUAGGUAAAGGCUGACCAAGCCGACGAUCUCUAGCUGGUCUGAGAGGAUGACCAGCCACACUGGAACUGAGACACGGUCCAG
rnacentral:rRNA from 1 species